GAUGAACGCUGGCGGCGUGCUUAACACAUGCAAGUCGAACGAGAAGUGAAGACGGAACCCUUCGGGCGGAAGGCUUUAUUUCGAGUUGCGGACGGGUGAGUAACGCGUGGGUAACCUGCCUCAUACAGGGGGAUAACAGUUGUAAACGACUGUUAAUACCGCAUAAGACCACAGCACCGCAUGGUGCGGGGGUAAAAACUCCGGUGGUAUGGGAUGGACCCGCUUUCGAUUAGCCAGUUGGCGGGGUAAUUGCCCAGCAACGCGGCGAUCGGUAGCCGAUCUGAGAGGAUGACCGGCCACAUUGGGACUGAGACACGGCCCAAACUCCUACGGGAGGCAGCAGUGGGGAAUAUUGCACAAUGGGGGAAACCCUGAUGCAGCGACGCCGCGUGAGUGAAGAAGUAUUUCGGUAUGUAAAGCUCUAUCAGCAGGGAAGAAAAUGACGGUACCUGAGUAAGAAGCCCCGGCUAACUACGUG
rnacentral:rRNA from 1 species